AACGCACCUUGCGCUCCUUGGUAUUCCGAGGAGCAUGCUUGUUUGAGUGUCAUGGUAUUCUCAACCCUCUUGCAAUUUGUUUUUGCAGGUGGGCUUGGAAUUGGAGGCUUUGCUGGCAGCUGAAUUUAUUUUCAGCCAUCGGCUCCUCUGAAAUGCAUUAGCUUGAAUGAGACCAAGCAUGAUUCAGCGUGAUAAAUGUCUACGUUGCUUCAUCUCGGUUGAAAAAAUAUAUUCUAGCUCCUAAUCGUCUCUCUUGAGACAACAUAUGAAAAUCUGACCUCAAAUCAAGUAGGACUACCCGCUGAACUUAA
rnacentral:misc_RNA from 1 species